GGAGAGGUGGCCGAGCCCGGUUUAAGGCGCACGCCUGGAAAGUGUGUGAACCCAAAAGGUUCCGGAGGUUCAAAUCCUCUCCUCUCCGCCA
rnacentral:tRNA from 1 species